UGAGGAAUAUUGGGCAAUGGACGGAAGUCUGACCCAGCCAUGCCGCGUGAAGGAUGAAGGCGUUCUGCGUUGUAAACUUCUUUUAUCAGGGAAGAAAAGCACUUUUUCUAGAGUGUCCGACGGUACCUGAGGAAUAAGCACCGGCUAACUCCGUGCCAGCAGCCGCGGUAAUACGGAGGGUGCGAGCGUUAUCCGGAUUUACUGGGUUUAAAGGGUGUGUAGGCGGGCUUUUAAGUCAGUGGUGAAAUCUCCGGGCUCAACCUGGAAACUGCCAUUGAUACUAUUGGUCUUGAAUAUUGUUGAGGUGGGCGGAAUACAUCAUGUAGCGGUGAAAUGCUUAGAUAUGAUGUAGAACACCGAUUGCGAAGGCAGCUCACUGGGCAAUUAUUGACGCUGAGGCACGAAAGCGUGGGGAUCAAACAGGAUUAGAUACCCUGGUAGUCCACGCCCUAAACGAUGAUUACUGGACGUGCGCGGCCUUUAGUGGUAUGCGCGUCUUAAGCGAAA
rnacentral:rRNA from 1 species